rnacentral:tRNA from 1 species
CAAUCCUGAUGGGAUUCGAACCCAAAAUCUUUGGCUCCGGAGGCCAACGCCUUAUCCGUUAGGCCACAGGACC